AUUGAACGCUGGCGGCAGGCCUAACACAUGCAAGUCGAGCGGAUGAGGGGUGCUUGCAUCCCGAUUCAGCGGCGGACGGGUGAGUAAUGCCUAGGAAUCUGCCCGAUAGUGGGGGACAACGUUUCGAAAGGAACGCUAAUACCGCAUACGUCCUACGGGAGAAAGUGGGGGCUCUUCGGACCUCACGCUAUCGGAUGAGCCUAGGUCGGAUCAGCUAGUUGGUGGGGUAAAGGCUCACCAAGGCGACGAUCCGUAACUGGUCUGAGAGGAUGAUCAGUCACACUGGAACUGAGACACGGUCCAGACUCCUACGGGAGGCAGCAGUGGGGAAUAUUGGACAAUGGGCGAAAGCCUGAUCCAGCCAUGCCGCGUGUGUGAAGAAGGUCUUCGGAUUGUAAAGCACUUUAAGUCGGGAGGAAGGGUUGUAGGUUAAUACCUUGCAGCCUUGACGUUACCGACAGAAUAAGCACCGGCUAACUCCGUGCCAGCCGCCGCAGUAAGAC
rnacentral:rRNA from 1 species